GGAGACGUGGCAGAGUGGUCGAACGCGCCGCACUCGAAAUGCGGUAUACCCUUACGGGUAUCUGAGGUUCGAAUCCUCCCGUCUCCG
rnacentral:tRNA from 1 species